UGGAUCACUGCCCGAUUAGCGCCU
rnacentral:siRNA from 1 species